GCGGGUGCGGUCUGACCCGCCUCCGAGGGACCCAACAAGCAGGCAGAGGAUCGGAAAUCACGCCCCGGCGCCCUGCCCGGUUGAGCGUGGGGGACGGAAGCGGGAGACUGCGUCGGGGGUCCCGGGGAACGCAGACCCCGGGCUGAGGGCGUCUCCAGACGGGCUCUGGCUGCCAGGCUGGGGGAGAGCCAAACGUUACACUGAAGAGACUGCAGAGAGCAGAGGAUGCAUUGAAACAGGAAGCCCCUGGGGUUUGGUGCCUACCAGAGUACUUUGCACAGACAAGGUUAAUAAAUUAUUUUUGAUGGC
rnacentral:lncRNA from 1 species